AUUGAACGCUGUCGGCAGGCUUAACACAUGCAAGUCGAACGAUGAUUAUCUAGCUUGCUAGAUAUGAUUAGUGGCGGACGGGUGAGUAACAUUUAGGAAUCUGCCUAGUAGUGGGGGAUAGCUCGGGGAAACUCGAAUUAAUACCGCAUACGACCUACGGGUGAAAGGGGGCGCAAGCUCUUGCUAUUAGAUGAGCCUAAAUCAGAUUAGCUAGUUGGUGGGGUAAAGGCCCACCAAGGCGACGAUCUGUAACUGGUCUGAGAGGAUGAUCAGUCACACCGGAACUGAGACACGGUCCGGACUCCUACGGGAGGCAGCAGUGGGGAAUAUUGGACAAUGGGGGCAACCCUGGUCCAGCCAUGCCGCGUGUGUGAAGAAGGCCUUUUGGUUGUAAAGCACUUUAAGCAGGGAGGAGAGGCUAAUGGUUAAUACCCAUUAGAUUAGACGUUACCUGCAGAAUAAGCACCGGCUAACUCUGUGCCAGCAGCCGCGGUAAUACAGAGGGUGCGAGCGUUAAUCGGGAUUACUGGGCGUAAAGCGAGUGUAGGUGGCUCAUUAAGUCACAUGUGAAAUCCCCGGGCUUAACCUGGGAACUGCAUGUGAUACUGGUGGUGCUAGAAUAUGUGAGAGGGAAGUAGAAUUCCAGGUGUAGCGGUGAAAUGCGUAGAGAUCUGGAGGAAUACCGAUGGCGAAGGCAGCUUCCUGGCAUAAUAUUGACACUGAGAUUCGAAAGCGUGGGUAGCAAACAGGAUUAGAUACCCUGGUAGUCCACGCCGUAAACGAUGUCUACUAGCCGUUGGGGUCCUUGAGACUUUAGUGGCGCAGUUAACGCGAUAAGUAGACCGCCUGGGGAGUACGGCCGCGAGGUUAAAACUCAAAUGAAUUGACGGGGGCCCGCACAAGCGGUGGAGCAUGUGGUUUAAUUCGAUGCAACGCGAAGAACCUUACCUGGUCUUGACAUAGUGAGAAUCCUGCAGAGAUGCGGGAGUGCCUUCGGGAAUUCACAUACAGGUGCUGCAUGGCUGUCGUCAGCUCGUGUCGUGAGAUGUUGGGUUAAGUCCCGCAACGAGCGCAACCCUUUUCCUUAUUUGCCAGCGGGUUAAGCCGGGAACUUUAAGGAUACUGCCAGUGGCAAACUGGAGGAAGGCGGGGACGACGUCAAGUCAUCAUGGCCCUUACGACCAGGGCUACACACGUGCUACAAUGGUAGGUACAGAGGGUUGCUACACAGCGACGUGAUGCUAAUCUCAAAAAGCCUAUCGUAGUCCGGAUUGGAGUCUGCAACUCGACUCCAUGAAGUCGGAAUCGCUAGUAAUCGCAGAUCAGAAUGCUGCGGUGAAUACGUUCCCGGGCCU
rnacentral:rRNA from 1 species